GGGCCCGUAGCUCAGCCAGGAAGAGCGCCGGUGUUUACGACCCGGUGCAUGUGUGCGGGGAGGUGUCCGGGGUUCGAAUCCCCGCGGGCCCG
rnacentral:tRNA from 2 species